rnacentral:tRNA from 1 species
GCGCCCGUAGCUCAGCUGGAUAGAGCAGCGGCCUUCUAAGCCGCGGGUCGCAGGUUCGAAUCCUGCCGGGCGUGCC